GGGGCUGACAGGUUUCUACAUAUUGAAUACCGUAUUUCUCGUUAGAGUAUAUAAAAAUAAUAGCUGCAAGACACAAUAUAGUUGUUUUUUCUAAUAAAAAAAUUUAUGCUUAGUUUUUGAUUUAUUUGAAUAUCAGAUAUAAUUUAUAUUUAAUAUAUUUGAUAUAUUCCAAAAAUAUGCUCUUAGUUUACUAAGCAACUAUCUACUAGGUAUUUGUAUACUAAGAUAAGUAAAAAAAAUACACUUUUCUUUAAAAAAUGAAAUCAAAUAUUUCGUUUUUAUAAAAUAAUAUUAUUUAAUUUCAAUAUGGACGUGGGUUCAAUUCCCUCCAGCUCCA
rnacentral:tmRNA from 1 species